rnacentral:snRNA from 1 species
AACGUAUUUGCAGUGACGUACAAAAAUCGAAACGAUACAGAGAAGACCAGCGUUGCCCUUGCACAAGGAUGACACGCUAGUUCAGAACGGAGGAUCUGUGAACCACAAUAUUU